CACCAUCCCUAUGGAAGAUUUUCACAUACAUGAUCAAUCUUGAUCAAGUUUUGAAGAUUAAAUCAAGAUUUUGAGUGUUCUUGAAGUAUCAAGUCUAGUAAUCAAGGUGUAUAAUUGAAGGUUUUAGAGGCCUGAAGAUGGUGUAAUUUCAUCAGAAAAAGAGGAAUUUUAUCGCAACAUUCGGUUACAGCACAGUGAUAAGCAUCCAGAGUAAAUAGGCUUUGUUGGAGGACUUAGAGUAGUUGACACUACUACGUUUUUACUUGGUAUACAUAUAUGUAUAUGGAUUAUAAAUUCCUGGGUAGUUAUGUGUUUAUACAACUAGUUAUGAAACUUUGUAAAAACCCUUUUAGUUGGUUUGUAUCCAUGCUUUUGUAUUUAGACCACUAGUGUGAAUUAUAAUUAUGAAUAUGCAUGUAGCAUGUUUGGCUUUAUGGUAA